rnacentral:rRNA from 1 species
AUUGAACGCUGGCGGCAGGCCUAACACAUGCAAGUCGAGCGAGCGGCGGACGGGUGAGUAAUGUAUGGGGACUGCCUGAUGGCGGGGGAUCACUACUGGAAACGGUAGCUAACACCGCAUACCCUCCUAUAACCCAUAGGGAAUUAGCUAGUAGGUGUGGUAACGGCUUACCUAGGCGACGAUCCCUAGCUGGUCUGAGAGGAUGAUCAGCCACACUGGGACUGAGACACGGCCCAGACUCCUACGGAGGCAGCAGUGGGGAAUAUUGCACAAUGGGCGCAAGCCUGAUGCAGCCAUGCCGCGUGUAUGAAGAAGGCCUUCGGGUUGUAAAGUACUUUCAGUCGGGAGGCGUUACCGACAGAAGAAGCACCGGCUAACUCCGUGCCAGCAGCCGCGGUAAUAC